rnacentral:rRNA from 1 species
AACGAACGCUGGCGGCAUGCCUAACACAUGCAAGUCGAACGAGACCUUCGGGUCUAGUGGCGCACGGGUGCGUAACGCGUGGGAACCUGCCCUUAGGUUCGGAAUAACUCCCCGAAAGGGGUGCUAAUACCGGAUAAUGUCUUCGGACCAAAGAUUUAUCGCCUUUGGAUGGGCCCGCGUUGGAUUAGCUAGUUGGUAGGGUAAAAGCCUACCAAGGCGACGAUCCAUAGCUGGUCUGAGAGGAUGAUCAGCCACACUGGGACUGAGACACGGCCCAGACUCCUACGGGAGGCAGCAGUUGGGAAUAUUGGACAAUGGGCGAAAGCCUGAUCCAGCAAUGCCGCGUGAGUGAUGAAGGCCUUAGGGUUGUAAAGCUCUUUUACCCGGGAUGAUAAUGACAGUACCGGGAGAAUAAGCGCCGGCUAACUCCGUG